AUGAAACGGAAGUCUUGGUAUCUUGGAGAUAUCGUCGUCGGAUGGUGUAGUACGAGAAUCUCUGCCUCAAACUCCCAGCAUGCCUGUGGGUUGAGGCGUGGCGACACCAUCACCAUUCCCUUCCUGAUUGAUGAGCGCUUGAUCUUCUUCAGGGCGAACGAGGCCGUCUGCCCACCGUGCACUUCUUUAACAGGCAUGCGCUUGCGGUGAAUGGAUUUGACGAUGAUGGGGAUGAAAACGCCCAGAGGAUCUGGACCGAGGAGCAGCGUGUCGUUCAGCCGUAUUAAUCCACGUAAAGUAGUUCCUGAUACUACAGUACCUACACCCUGAAGAACAUACGAGAAGUUCAAAUGAUUGAGAAAGAUGUAGACAGGAGCACAAAAGACGGUGUGUGUUGUACCGGCACUGAAUAUGUGUCAUCAAUCUGAAACUCUGGCGGCUCGUCAUCUUUAAAUGUCGUUCUGGGAGACAGCAGGUUCAGGAACAUUUUCAACAAGUCCAUGUUUUCACCUGUCACAUUCGAAAUCUGGAAAAUCGGACACAUCCUACACACACAGAAAUAAUGCUUUGGUUGAAUAUGCUCUCAUUAUUUCAGAUGAUAUUAAUACCUUGUUUGAAGUUGAUGCUUUAUAAAGAUUCGUUGGGCAAAAAAUUCAUCUUGAUUUCCAAAGUUUUUUCAUGUAAACAAAAAAAAUUGUUUACAUAAAACUCUAAAUACAGUAGUGACUAAAAACUCAACUUUGACAGAUUUUAAGGGGUUGUUAAGAUGUUUUAUGGCAUUCUAAGCCAAAAAAUUUGAGUGGCCAAAGAACAAAAAAGCCUUUUUAUCAUCCUACAGGCAAAAAUUAAGUAAAAUUACCUUUCUGAGCUGAAGUUUGAGGCUGUAACAAUGACGUCAUCCUUGUUUUGCACCAAAACUGGAAUUUUUCUGCAUCCUGGAGACUUGAGUAACCUUUGUAAUAACUUAAGCGUUUCUGCAACACAAAACCACAUGAAAAUAUGUCUAUAAAAACAUACACUGGAGGGCUGGGUUGAUAAUUCACAUUAACUUUCAACAGCAUUUGUGGGAUAUUGUUGAUCAAAACAGGAUAUAAUUUUUACUUCAGAACUCCAAAAACCGUUUGCACAAUAUGUACAAGGAUACCAGAAAGUAUCCUUGCGUAUGCAGUAUUUCAAAAACACGCAGGAAUUAUGCCACUAGUGUGCAAGUUCAUCCACAGAGAGAAGUCGUAGAAUUUACACAACUUUACACCCCAAACCUAAAAAUUAAAAUAAAUAAUAAUAAUUAACAAUAUAGUACAAGGAAUACCAGUAAAGUAUCCUUAGUCGUAUGCUAGAUUUACAAAAAACACGCAGGAAUUAUGCCACUAGUGUGCAAGUUCAUCCACAGAGAGAAGUCGUAGAAUUUACACAACUUUACACCCCCCAAAAAAUUAAAAUAAAAUAAUAAUAAUAAUUUGUGUGUGUUUUAGCUAAAAUACAAACUUAAAAUUUAUUAAACCCUCUGGAAGGCUUGUGCCAUUUACUUUUUACAUUAACUGCAAUUUCUGCUUUAUUAAAACUAUUUUUAAUAAAUAAAUAUAAAAUAAACUAGAAUAAAAAAACAGGUUUGGUCUGAUUAGGCUGAUAUUCAAAGCCAUUUCAAAAUACAGCCGUAUUCAAAAUGUUUUUUUUUUUUUUUUCAAAAGUGUUAUAUGAUCAGAAUUUACAUGUUUUUAUACCCAAUAAAAUUAUUAAUAAUAAAUAAGAAAAGAAGUAGAUUUGUACCAUAUUUAUAUCAUACUGGUAAUACCAUAAAAUAACAUUUAAAAAAAAAAAACGCAAACAUUUGGAUGUCCUUGGAAUCUUACAAAAUUUGUAUAGAAAUUAGCAUUAUGCCACAAAUACUGUUGAUUAAACUUCUGUAGUAAAAUGAGAGAUUAACAAUACCUUGUAAGAUGUUAGCGGGACACAUGUCUAUCUUAGUUACAACUACAAAAACAGGAACGUUGAGGGCCAGAGCUUCCAUAUCCCUCUCAUCCAGACCAUAAUCACCACCGUCUGAGAGACAGAGACACCAAGAAUUCAUCAGCACUUCUAAAUAUGACAUUUCCAUCUGGGAAAGUCAAAAUCAGUUUCUGAAAUGAACGCAUAAAGGCUUGAAAAUAAACAAUAAAUAUAAAAGAUGGGCAAGAAUACACAAUCUGGUUAAACCAACCCAUAUCAACACAACCUUUGACCCUAGAGGUCACAGGGUCACUGUUGCAUGGACUUGCAAAAAGACAAUAAAGGACAAUGGUGUCCUUUUCUGGUGCAACAUAUUUGUCUAUUCAAUAAAAAUGUUCAAACUUGGCGAUAGCUUUGUGACACAUUGCGUCUCACCUGUUCCCAUCCCAACCACAUAGAUGGUUUCUCCGCAUCCUUCCUCUAUUCGUUCUCGCAGCUGCUUUUGUAAACAGUCAUACUGCUCUCCUGUAGGGCUGACCAGUGCAAACUGACGAGAAUUAACAAAAAUAAUCAAAGUAUUAUUAAAGGAACUUACAGAAGAAAAACAAAACAUGUUUUGCCGAGCAUGUAUUUUAAUAUAUUAAAAUGGCAAAAUUUGGGGAUGCAUUCCAUAUGUUUAAUAUCUCUGUGCAGCAGGGUUCCUCAAAUCUUACCCUGGAGGACCAGCACUGAUCAAAAUCACCUACAUGUGAUUUUCUAAUGAUCCUGAAGACACUGAUCAGCAGAUAUUUUGUAAAUUUCCUACCUUAAAUAUAUCAAAGCUUAAUUUUUGAUUAGUAAUAUGCAUUGCUAAGAACUUAAUUUGGACAAUUUAAUUUACAAAUUUUCAAAUAGUUGCAUCUCAACCAAAUAUUGUCCUAUCCUAACAAACCACACAUCAAUUAUCAACAAUUUAAAAAAAAAAAAAAAACCUUUUUUUUUUUUUUGCCAUUUUUGCAAUUAAACCUACUUUCAAACAGUUUAUCUGUAAUUUUAUAAUUCCAUUUUAUUUAAUUAAGUGCAAUUCUUUAUUUUUAUUGUUGGAAACCCAACACACAUCAAACAAUAUAUACAUAUGUGUGUGUGUGUAUUUGGUUUAACAUUUUAUGAUUCGAAGUCUAAUUAAAUCUAACAUUAAUAAAUAUAUAAAAAAUAUCGGAAUAUUUUUAAGCGUGACUUAAACACCCAAAUACUUUUUAGGCUCCUACAAAUCUGUUUGUAGCAAAAACUUGCGUUUUCAUGUUGCACUUUUUACUGCAGUUUUACAUGCAUUAAAAGUGCAACACCCUUAAAUUCACCCUAUCACAAUGUUAAUCAUGUUCAGGUUCGAUCGCACACAUGCACAUAGUCCAGGGUCAGCAGUAGUUGCAGUGCCAGCUGGCGUUCGCGUGCACAGUCAACGUGUCACUCGUGCAGCCCUUCUGCUUUGAAUUCAAAGUUGUAAAAUGCGUUUAAACAGCACGCAUUUAUAAAAUAAACUGUUGUGUUGGUUCGUGCACACAGAGAAGAGUUCAAUCGAACGCUUAGGCCUGAGAGCCACCUUGCUGGUGAGGUCUAAAUGAUCCUCGGCUUCCCCGUUCUGGUUGUCGCCGGCGUCGUUGCGCUCAGCGCCGGGCAAAUCCUCUGCGCAGCUCUGGUCAGGUGCGAACAUACAAGCCGGCACCACCGACUCCACCGCCGGGCUUAAGCUGGUCUCCGUCGCCGCCAUGUGUUCCUCCAGCCUGAGUCUGGAAAAGAGACUGAUCGAGUGAAGUUUUGUUUUUCGCCUUUAAGUCUAACCUGUCUUCUGUUAUGUAGUUUACAUGCACUUUUUGUAUGAGGAAUAUGGGGCCUCUGGGAGACACGCCUACUCAUGAAUAAUUAAUUCAUUGUUUACAGGCACGUCUAAAAAAGCCCUACUAAACUUUAAAGUUUUUUAUUACUUUAUUUUAAAAAAUAUAUUUUAUUAUAUUUACUAUUUCUAAGUUUCUGUCUUUGAUAUAAGAUUUUGGUACUUUUUUAAUACAUACGUGUCAUACUUAAAAAAAAAAUAAAAAAAAAUAAAGACACUUUUAAACGUAAGCUCUGGAGAGAGACGCCUAGUCAUGAUUAUUAAUGUGCUGAUCUUAACUUGAGCUCAACUCACACUCCUGUAGAGCCCGAAAAUAGACAUCAUUCAAUACACGCCUAUUUGGUAUUAAUUCGUUUACAUAAUUACAUAAAAGUAGCCAGCAGGCAAGUCUGAACAGGUCUCUCUAGUAGCCAUAAAUUAACUUUUUUUUUUUUUUU
rnacentral:lncRNA from 1 species